rnacentral:rRNA from 1 species
UGGGGAAUAUUGGACAAUGGGCGCAAGCCUGAUCCAGCCAUGCCGCGUGCGUGAAGAAGGCCUUUUGGUUGUAAAGCACUUUAAGCGAGGAGGAGGCUACUUGGAUUAAUACUCUAAGAUAGUGGACGUUACUCGCAGAAUAAGCACCGGCUAACUCUGUGCCAGCAGCCGCGGUAAUACAGAGGGUGCGAGCGUUAAUCGGAUUUACUGGGCGUAAAGCGUGCGUAGGCGGCUUCUUAAGUCGGAUGUGAAAUCCCUGAGCUUAACUUAGGAAUUGCAUUCGAUACUGGGAAGCUAGAGUAUGGGAGAGGAUGGUAGAAUUCCAGGUGUAGCGGUGAAAUGCGUAGAGAUCUGGAGGAAUACCGAUGGCGAAGGCAGCCAUCUGGCCUAAUACUGACGCUGAGGUACGAAAGCAUGGGGAGCAAACAGG